AUUGAACGCUGGCGGCAUGCUUUACACAUGCAAGUCGAACGGCAGCGCGGGCUUCGGCCUGGCGGCGAGUGGCGAACGGGUGAGUAAUGCACCGGAACGUGCCCAGUAGUGGGGGAUAGCCCGGCGAAAGCCGGAUUAAUACCGCAUACGACCUGAGGGUGAAAGCGGGGGACCGAAAGGCCUCGCGCUAUUGGAGCGGCCGAUGUCGGAUUAGCUAGUUGGUGGGGUAAAGGCUUACCAAGGCGACGAUCCGUAGCUGGUCUGAGAGGACGACCAGCCACACUGGGACUGAGACACGGCCCAGACUCCUACGGGAGGCAGCAGUGGGGAAUUUUGGACAAUGGGGCAACCCUGAUCCAGCCAUGCCGCGUGCGGGAAGAAGGCCUUCGGGUUGUAAAACGCUUUUGUUCGGGAAGAAAUCCUCUGGGCUAAUACCCCGGGGGGAUGACGGUACCGGAAGAAUAAGCACCGGCUAACUACGUG
rnacentral:rRNA from 1 species